CUCCUACGGGGCGCAGCAGUGGGGAAUAUUGCACAAUGGGGGAAACCCUGAUGCAGCGACGCCGCGUGAGUGAAGAAGUAUCUCGGUAUGUAAAGCUCUAUCAGCAGGAAAGAUAAUGACGGUACCUGACUAAGAAGCCCCGGCUAACUACGUGCCAGCAGCCGCGGUAAUACGUAGGGGGCAAGCGUUAUCCGGAUUUACUGGGUGUAAAGGGAGCGUAGGCGGUAAGGCAAGUCUGAUGUGAAAGGCCAGGGCUCAACCCUGGGACUGCAUUGGAAACUGUUUAACUGGAGUGUCGGAGAGGG
rnacentral:rRNA from 1 species